rnacentral:rRNA from 1 species
GACGAACGCUGGCGGCGUGCUUAACACAUGCAAGUCGAACGGAAAGGCCUUGUUUUUGUUGUGGGCUCGAGUUGCUCACGUGUGAAUCACAUGUGUGACACCUGCCCUUUAUUUUGGCAUCACGUCUGUAAACUUGGGCUACUACCUGUUAUUCCCUCCUGCUCCAUAGUGUGGUUUGUAUGGUUUCGGCGGUUGGGGUUGGACUCGCGGCUUAUCAGCUUGGUGGUGGGGUUGUGGCUUACCAAGGCUUUGACGGGGAGCCGGCCUGAGAGGGUGACCGGCCACAUUGGGAAUGAGAUACGGCCCAGACUCCGACGGGAGGAAGGAGUGGGGAAUAUUGCAAAAUGGGCGGAAGCCUGAUGCAGGAACGCCGCGUGCGGGAUGACGGCCUUCGGGUUGUAAACCGCUUUCGCCUGUGACGAAGGGUGAGUGACGGUAAUGGGUAAAGAAGCACCGGCUAACUACGUG